CCUACGGGAGGCAGCAGUGAGGAAUAUUGGUCAAUGGGCGCAAGCCUGAACCAGCCAAGUCGCGUGAGGGCUGACGGUCCUAUGGAUUGUCAACCUCUUUUGUCGGGGAGCAAAGCCCGCCACGUGUGGCGGGCAGAGGAGUACCCGAAGAAAAAGCAUCGGCUAACUCCGUGCCAGCAGCCGCGGUAAUACGGCGGAUGCGAGCGUUAUCCGGAUUUAUUGGGUUUAAAGGGUGCGUAGGAAGGUUACGUCAGCGGUAAAAUGUCGGUGCUCAACACCGGCCGGCCGUUGAAACUGGUCUUCUAGAGUGAGCGAGAAGUAUGCGGAAGGCGUGGUGUAGCGGUGAAAUGCAUAGAGAUCACGCAGAACUCCGAUUGCGAAGGCAGCAUACCGGCGCUCAACUGACGCUGAGGCACGAAAGUGUGGGGAUCGAACAGGAUUAGAUACCCCGGUAGUC
rnacentral:rRNA from 1 species